AAUGAACGCUGGCGGCGUGCCUAACACAUGCAAGUCGUGCGCGAACGGGGCUUCGGCUCCUAGUAGAGCGGCGAACGGGUGAGUAACACGUGGGUAACCUGCCUGGGAGUGGGGAAUAACCUGGGGAAACUCGGGCUAAUACCGCAUACGUUCCCGGAGCUACGGCUCCGGGAAGAAAGAUGGCCUCUGCUUGCAAGCCAUCCCUCCCAGAGGGGCCCGCGGCUGAUUAGCUAGUUGGUGAGGUAACGGCCCACCAAGGCGACGAUCAGUAGCCGGCCUGAGAGGGUGAUCGGCCACACUGGAACUGAGACACGGUCCAGACUCCUACGGGAGGCAGCAGUGGGGAAUAUUGGACAAUGGGGGAAACCCUGAUCCAGCAACGCCGCGUGGGGGAUGAAGGUCUUCGGAUUGUAAACCCCUGUUGAGAGGGACGAAGGCUUCCGGGCGAACAGUCCGGAAGCUUGACGGUACCUCGAGAGGAAGCCCCGGCUAACUCUGUGCCAGCCGCCGCCGUAAGAC
rnacentral:rRNA from 1 species